rnacentral:hammerhead_ribozyme from 1 species
GUACUGCUGAUGAGCCCCACAACAGGACGAAAUGGCCAUCCAGUGC